rnacentral:rRNA from 1 species
UACGUAGGGUGCGAGCGUUGUCCGGAAUUACUGGGCGUAAAGAGCUCGUAGGUGGUUUGUCGCGUUGUCCGUGAAAACUCACAACUCAAUUGUGGGCGUGCGGGCGAUACGGGCAGACUGGAGUACUGCAGGGGAGACUGGAAUUCCUGGUGUAGCGGUGGAAUGCGCAGAUAUCAGGAGGAACACCGGUGGCGAAGGCGGGUCUCUGGGCAGUAGCUGACACUGAGGCGCGAAAGCGUGGGGAGCAAACAGG